UACGUAGGGUGCGAGCGUUAAUCGGAAUUACUGGGCGUAAAGCGUGCGCAGGCGGUUUUGUAAGCCAGAUGUGAAAUCCCCGGGCUUAACCUGGGAAUGGCAUUUGGGACUGCAAGGCUCGAGUGCGGCAGAGGAGACUGGAAUUCCUGGUGUAGCAGUGAAAUGCGUAGAUAUCAGGAGGGACACCGAUGGCGAAGGCAGGUCUCUGGGCUGACACUGACGCUCAUGCACGAAAGCGUGGGGAGCAAACAGG
rnacentral:rRNA from 1 species